rnacentral:rRNA from 1 species
GAUGAACGCUGGCGGCGUGCCUAAUACAUGCAAGUCGAGCGAACAGAUGAGGAGCUUGCUCCUCUGUCGUUAGCGGAGCAGGGGUGUGUAACACGUGUAUAACCUCCCUAUAUGACGGGGAAAACCUGGGGAAACCGGAGCAUAUACGGGAUAAUCUAUUGAACCGCAGUGGGGGAUAGUGAAAGUCGGCUGUGCGGUAACUUCUCGCUGCAUCCGCGCCGCAUUAGCUAGUUGGUACGGUAACGGCUUAUCAAGGCGACGAUGCGUAGGCGACUUGAGAGGGUGAUCGGCCACACUGGAACUGAGCCGCGGUCCAGACUCCUACGGGAGGCAGCAGUAGGGAAUCUUCCGCAAUGGGCGAAAGCCUGACGGAGCAACGCCGCGUGUGUGAUGAAGGUCUUCGGAUCGUAAAGCUCUGUUAUGAGGGAUGAACAAAUGUGUAAUGAAAUAUGCACUUAUUGACGGUACCGGAUCAAGAAGCCCCGGCUAACUACGUG